CUCCACAAUCUCGAUAUCCUUACAGGUCAGACAUGCCACCAGCUUCUGGCGAGAGGCACUGCGUGCAAAGAAGAACUCAUGGGACACUCCCGCCAGUAUAGCGCCGAGCACCGGUCCAAUCCAAUAAACCUGAAGAUCUGCAAACAACACCAUGAGCACACAUUGAACAAACAGUCUCAGUACUCUUGACCUCAGAAGGUUUCUUAGGAUACCAGUGGAGGGGCGCCCCGGCGUCUCACUUGGUAAAGUCCUUACCGCAGUGGCCUGGGUUUGAGUCCAGCCCUGGCCCUUUGCUGUCUGUCAUACCCUCUCUCUCUCCCCUGCCUUUCCUGUUUCUCUCUACUAUGACUAUACAAUAAAGCAGAAAUGCUGAAAAAAUGAUCUUAAAAAAAAAGGGUAGCAGUGGAAAUACCCUGGACAAAACUGGCAAACUGCCACCAGAGACAAACAGUGUCUCACACCAUUUAACUGACCUGCAUGUCUUUGGAUUGUGGGAUGAAACAUGUUUUAUACAGUCUAUGGAUGAAACCCAUGAAAAAUAAAUGCUAAUUCCACAUAAAAUGAUUGGAUUUGACAAGGUUUGACAAAAAUGACGUACUUUCUGCGAGACAAUAGCAUUAAUCAUGUCAUGUCAAGAAUAAUCACGUCAUUGUACACUGUAAAAAUGCCAACUUAAAUUCUUUGGCAUAAAUAAUGAUUACACAUUGUUAAGACGUAGAAGUAUAAAUUAUCAGCAUUUAAAGUAAAAAAAUAUCAGAUGUGGCAACAAACCAACCCAGUCUCUUGCUUCAAUUAAAGUGGCUGAGAGCAGAUAAGAUAAUUUUGUAGCUGUGAUUCAUUGCAAAGUGAGAAAGGUCUGUCAACUUGUGUUUUUAGUUGUGGAACCAUUUCUUAACUUAAACAAUGCUUGAGUUGACUAAAUGUGCAGAAACAUUAAAAACAAUGUUAGCUUAACAGCACUCUUCCCGGCAUGUAUUGUAUUUGGGUUCAAACUCUCCAGAAAGCCUUUUUGUUUGUUUGUUUUUGUUGUUGCUGAUGUUUGAGGAAAGUUAUGAGGGAUGUUUGUCACGUGUCAUUUUAUACACGUGUCUCUGACACUUGAAGACCACUGACAUGGUCUUCAAGUGUCCACAUCAACCAAUGUUUUUUAAAAUACAUUUCAGCCACAGAUUUUAAACUACGACCAUUGAUCCAAAGCUGUAGUGUUUGGGCAGUGUUAUGUGUGGGGGGAAUCAAACAUGUAGCGGCUUUAGUAGUAAAAAAUAAAUACAACUGGAAAUAAUAUUAAUUUACUCAUGACAGCAAAACCAAGCAGUUGAUAAAUUGAUAAAUAAAAACAUUGAGUCCAUUAUUUCUGACAGAAAACAACACAGUUGUGUGUGUAAGCUCUUCUUACCCCUAU